ensembl:snoRNA
AUCCUUUUGUAGUUUGUAAGCAUGAUGAUUGGGGUUUCAUGCUUAUGUGUGAGACGUGCCUCCCUUAAAUCUUGUUAUGAUGUCAGCACAUUACCCAUCUGAUG